CUGUCUAAUUUUAGCUCUGAGGUGUCAGGGUCGUGCGAGGUGAGGCGGCGGGGUCGCAACGGGCUCGGGUGGGGUCCUCACGUGACUCCGUGAGGCGGCAUGCUCAGGUGGGGGUUCCCCUCAGGACUGGGGGGCCGGAGUCACGUGAGAUGGUUUCCUGCAUGUCUGUGAGGAGUGGAGGAGGACAUGUCUGUCAUCCAGAGUAACCGGGUCAAGGAUGUGUGGUUAGAUUGGAAAGGAAGACAUCUGCUUGCAUCAGCUCAACUUUGAAGACAGGGGGUGCACUGACCCCCACCCUCUCUCCCAUCUCACAUGAGGAUGACCAGAGAGGGUUGGUGUUCGAGAUUUGCCAUAAUGUGUGGGAUCAGGAACCAGAUAAAAGUUUAGUGUUGAAGAAAUGAAUGCCAGGCACCUUGUAAAAUUGGCACCGCAGCCCUGUCAUCAGAAAGUGAGCUGUUCUUUUGACACACAGAGUUGUUUGCCAUGUCACAGUGACCUGCAUUCUGUUAGUGAGGGAGCCUCAGGUUUCACAUGGGUUGUCUCUGUAUAAGCUGUAAAAUGAUAGCCUCUGGCCUUUAUGGUAUUGGGAAACUUGAAGUGUUUAAUGAUAAAAGUGGUUUCUAAUGGUU
rnacentral:lncRNA from 1 species